rfam:Schistosoma haematobium scaffold1437_6, whole genome shotgun sequence.
AUCCAGCUGAAGAGUCCUAAAUAGGACAAAACACGUGUUUUGGAU